UAGCCUAGUGGUAAGGCUUUCGAUCGCCAAUCCGGAGACGGCGGGUUCGAUUCCCGC
rnacentral:tRNA from 1 species